GUACGGGGGGGUAAGCGUUGUUCGGAAUUACUGGGCGUAAAGGGCUCGUAGGCGGCCAACUAAGUCAGACGUGAAAUCCCUCAGCUUAACUGGGGAACUGCGUCUGAUACUGGAUGGCUUGGAUUUGGGAGAGGGAUGCGGAAUUCCAGGUGUAGCGGUGAAAUGCGUAGAUAUCUGGAGGAACACCGGUGGCGAAGGCGGCAUCCUGGACCAAUAUUGACGCUGAGGAGCGAAAGCCAGGGGAGCAAACGGG
rnacentral:rRNA from 1 species